rnacentral:rRNA from 1 species
UAAUACGUAGGGGGCGAGCGUUGCUCGGAUUUACUGGGCGUAAAGAGCGCGUAGGCGGCCAGGUAAGUCCGUUGUGAAAGCCCUCGGCUCAACCGAGGAUCCGCAUCGGAAACUACUUGGCUUGAGUCCAGGAGAGGAGGGUGGAAUUCCCGGUGUAGCGGUGAAAUGCGUAKAUAUCGGGAGGAACACCGGUGGCGAAGGCGGCCCUCUGGAAUGGUACUGACGCUGAGGCGCGAAAGCUGGGGGAGCGAACGGGAUUAGAUACCCCGGUAGUCCCAGCCGUAAACGAUGGGCACUAGGUGUGGGAGGUAUUGACCCCUUCUGUGCCGUAGCUAACGCAUUAAGUGCCCCGCCUGGGGAGUACGACCGCAAGGUUGAAACUCAAAGGAAUUGACGGGGGGCCCGCACAAGCGGUGGAGCAUGUGGUUUUAAUUCGACGCAACGCGAAGAA